rnacentral:rRNA from 1 species
CGGGGUUGCGGACAGUGUCUGGUGGGUAGUUUGACUGGGGCGGUCUCCUCCCAAAGCGUAACGGAGGAGCACGAAGGUUAGCUAAUCCUGGUCGGACAUCAGGAGGUUAGUGCAAUGGCAUAAGCUAGCUUGACUGCGAGCGUGACGGCGCGAGCAGGUGCGAAAGCAGGUCAUAGUGAUCCGGUGGUUCUGAAUGGAAGGGCCAUCGCUCAACGGAUAAAAGGUACUCCGGGGAUAACAGGCUGAUACCGCCCAAGAGUUCAUAUCGACGGCGGUGUUUGGCACCUCGAUGUCGGCUCAUCACAUCCUGGGGCUGAAGUAGGUCCCAAGGGUAUGGCUGUUCGC